UACGUAGGGCGCAAGCGUUGUCCGGAAUUAUUGGGCGUAAAGAGCUCGUAGGCGGUCUGUCGCGUCGGAUGUGAAAGCCCGGGGCUUAACCCCGGGUCUGCAUUCGAUACGGGCAGACUAGAGUGUGGUAGGGGAGAUCGGAAUUCCUGGUGUAGCGGUGAAAUGCGCAGAUAUCAGGAGGAACACCGGUGGCGAAGGCGGAUCCCUGGCCACUACGUGACGCUGAGAAGCGAA
rnacentral:rRNA from 1 species